rnacentral:misc_RNA from 1 species
UCUCCGUUGGUGAACCAGCGGAGGGAUCAUUAGCGAGUCACACUCCCUAAUACCACCGUGAACCUACCCGUAAGGCGCGUUGCUUCGGCGGGCGGCCCGGUCGCAGCCCCCUCGGGGUCGCGGCCGUGCCCCCUGGCCCCCCCCGCGGGGCGCCCGCCGGCGGCGCGCGCCGCGUCAAAACACACCCAGCGGUACGCGUCAGCCUCUGAGUAGAAACCGAAACAGUAAAAACUUUCAGCAACGGAUCUCUUGGUUCUGGCAUCGAUGAAGAACGCAGC